rnacentral:rRNA from 1 species
CGUCCGCCGGCGACCGGCGCACGGGUGAGUAACACGUAUGCAACCUGCCCCUGUCAGGGGGACAACCCGCCGAAAGGCGGGCUAAACCCGCGUACAUGCCACCGGGGCAUCCCGGAGGCAGGAAAGGCUUCGGCCGGACAGGGAUGGGCAUGCGGCGCAUUAGGCAGUAGGCGGGGUAACGGCCCACCUAACCGACGAUGCGUAGGGGUUCUGAGAGGAAGGUCCCCCACACUGGUACUGAGACACGGACCAGACUCCUACGGAAGGCAGCAG